UACGAAGGUGACAAGCGUUGUUCGGAUUCACUGGGCGUACAGGGUGUGUAGGCGGUUUGGUAAGCCUUCUGUUAAAGCUUCGGGCCCAACCCGGAAAGCGCAGAGGGUACUGCCAGGCUAGAGGGCGGGAGAGGAGCGCGGAAUUCCCGGUGUAGCGGUGAAAUGCGUAGAGAUCAGGAAGAACACCGGUGGCGAAAGCGCUCUGCUGGACCUUAACUGACACUGAGGGACGAAAGCUAGGGGAGCGAAUGGG
rnacentral:rRNA from 1 species